rnacentral:rRNA from 1 species
GAUGAACGCUGGCGGCGUGCCUAACACAUGCAAGUCGAGCGGAAUUUACAUGAAGCCUAGCGAUUGUUAAUUUAGUGGCGGACGGGUGAGUAACGCGUGGGUAACCUGCCUUGUACUGGGGGACAACAGUUGGAAACGACUGCUAAUACCGCAUAAGCGCACAGCUUCGCAUGAAGCAGUGUGAAAAACUCCGGUGGUACAAGAUGGACCCGCGUCUGAUUAGCUGGUUGGUGAGGUAAACGGGCCCACCAAGGCGACGAUCAGUAGCCGGCCUGAGAGGGUGAACGGCCACAUUGGGACUGAGACACGGCCCAAACUCCUACGGGAGGCAGCAGUGGGGAAUAUUGCACAAUGGGGGAAACCCUGAUGCAGCAACGCCGCGUGAGUGAAGAAGUAUUUCGGUAUGUAAAGCUCUAUCAGCAGGGAAGAAAAUGACGGUACCUGACUAAGAAGCCCCGGCUAACUACGUG